rnacentral:lncRNA from 1 species
CGGAUAACAUCCAAGGCAUUAAUUACGAAGACAGCUAUCCGCUGUCUGGCCCGUCCUGGUGGUGUCAAGGGCAUCUCUGGGCUCAUAUGGAAAGAGAACCGGGGAGUGCUCGAAGCGUCCCUGAAGAACGUGAUCCGCAAUGCGGUGACUUAACACUGAGCCCUCAAACGGUUGCGGUGUAUGCGCUAAAACGGCAGGGCCGCAUACUGGUCGGCCUCGGCGUCUGCACGGUGCUUGAAGUUUAUCUCCUCACUCCAAAAGGCCCGUUUUAGGGCCCCCCAAAGGUCAAAAAACUAGUUGAUAUUGCUUAAAUUGUGUAUGAACGCGCACAUGUCCUUCAAGCGCCUUGUGGGUGGAAGCUGCUGCUCUGGCGGGUGACUUGGGGCUUGGGGAGGAGGGGAGGUGUUAGUAGGGCUCCGAGCAGAGAGCCCAGGGCCUGCGCUUAGAACAUAGCCCAGGAAGUGCGACGCAGGGCAGUAGUGACCUUGCUCUUCUCUGUUUCAGACACCAGACUGCUGACUUACAGCUCUGGGAGAAGGAAGCAUUUCUACCUGGCAAAACCUACGUCUUCACGGUGGACACUUCUAAGCCGCGGAGGAUUCCCGCCCUGAGCAAUUAUAGAGUGGCUUGUAUGUAAAUAGGACGAGUGGACUUUUCGUCUCCGAUUGGAUAGAAGGCGUCAGAGGGGGCGGCUCUCGCUUGUGCGGCCCGUCCCGUCUCUGGGACCAGAGAUGUUGAGAUGUCCAAUAGGAAAGCGUGAGAUGCCGGCCUAGUUUGGCGCGCCGUGGUCCGGCCGGGUUUGAAUUAUUUUAUUUUUUCGCUGACUUUUUGAGUUAGAGGUAACCGAGCUCAGACGCCAGAUGCAGGGCGGCCGAGUGCGGGCGAAGUCCAAGGCCGGGCCUGAGCCCGCGGCCCCUGCGCUACCCGUGGGUCCGCUGCACAAAGGUAGCCGCGCCGAGCAGAUCCUUUUCUCUUUUGAACUAAGGCCUGUGUGUACAGGCUGGAUGGGAGACAGGCUUGCACAAUACAGCAACCGAGUUCUACAGUUCAUUGUUUGGCUGUUAUCCUGGGAGCAAAUCACCCGUGGUGUGACUCUUCAACCCCAGGUGAGUGAACAUUGUUGGGAAAAUCCCAUCAAUCAUCUGACACGCCUACCCACAUCCAAACUCCAACAAGGUCACAGCUCAGCCUUUCUGGCUUGA